ncrna:unclassified sequences DTF3268 RNA
GGCAGGGGCUUGCGCAGGCUUUCGGUACUUCAGAAGAGCUCCCGGAGUCAGACGUAUUCCAAGGGGGAUACGGAACCGUUACGGAGUCGCGCACUGAGCGAUUCCACAAUCGCAAGCC